rnacentral:rRNA from 1 species
AUUGAACGCUGGCGGCAUGCCUUACACAUGCAAGUCGAACGGCAGCACGGGAGCAAUCCUGGUGGCGAGUGGCGAACGGGUGAGUAAAGUAUCGGAACGUGCCCAGUCGUGGGGGAUAACGUAGCGAAAGUUACGCUAAUACCGCAUACGAUCUAUGGAUGAAAGCGGGGGAUCGCAAGACCUCGCGCGAUGGGAGCGGCCGAUAUCAGAUUAGAUAGUUGGUGGGGUAAAGGCUCACCAAGCCGACGAUCUGUAGCUGGUCUGAGAGGACGACCAGCCACACUGGGACUGAGACACGGCCCAGACUCCUGCGGGAGGCAGCAGUGGGGAAUUUUGGACAAUGGGCGAAAGCCUGAUCCAGCCAUGCCGCGUGCAGGAUGAAGGCCUUCGGGUUGUAAACUGCUUUUGUACGGAACGAAAAGGUUUGGCCUAAUAAGCUGAGCUCAUGACGGUACCGUAAGAAUAAGCACCGGCUAACUACGUGCCAGCCGCCGCAGUAA